AAGCCCCUUUUAUAGGCAUGUAAGGAGGUGGGGUGAAGAGUCCUAAUAAUCCUAGACUCUUAUAGGAUUCUGCCUCCCUUCAUAAUUCUACAACCAAAAAUAUAUCAAAAAAAUAUAGGAUGCCCCUUCUCAUAUUUUUUUAUAGUAAAUCAGAAUAAUCUCUCAUGAAAAAUCUCCUCAAAAUAUCAUACAUAUAAGGAGAAAAAAAUUUAUUGGCGUGGAGAGGUUGAUCUGGAUGAGAACAGAUUCUCCUGGUAAGGAAUAUUUUAAAAUUUAAUUUUAGAAUAUUUCUUUUAUUAAAACUAAAUUAGAUUUGGAUG
rnacentral:lncRNA from 1 species